GAUUAACGCUAGCGGCAGGCAUAAUACAUGCAAGUUGUACGGCAGCACAGGUAGCAAUACUGGGUGGCGAGUGGCGCACGGGUGCGUAACACGUAUGCAACCUACCCUAUACAGGCGAAUAACCUUUAGAAAUGAGGGCUAAUACGCCGUAGUAUUACAGAUGGGCAUCUAUUUGUAAUUAAAGAUUUAUCGGUAUAGGAUGGGCAUGCGUCCCAUUAGUUAGUUGGUAAGGUAACGGCUUACCAAGACGAUGAUGGGUAGGGGAUCUGAGAGGACUUACCCCCACACUGGUACUGAGACACGGACCAGACUCCUACGGGAGGCAGCAGUAAGGAAUAUUGGGCAAUGGCCGCGAGGCUGACCCAGCCAUGCCGCGUGCAGGAAGACGGCCUUAUGGGUUGUAAACUGCUUUUAUACGGGAAUAAUAGAGUGUACGCGUACAUUUAUGCAAGUAUCGUAUGAAUAAGCAUCGGCUAACUCCGUG
rnacentral:rRNA from 1 species